GCCCYGAUAGUAUAARCAUUACACUGGUCUUGUAAACCAGUAAUGAAAAAAAAACUUUUUCUCAGGGCA
rnacentral:tRNA from 1 species